rnacentral:rRNA from 1 species
AACGAACGCUGGCGGCAGGCUUAACACAUGCAAGUCGAGCGCCUCGCCAGAGGAGCGGCCGACGGGUGCGUAACGCGUGGGAACGUACCCUUAUCUUCGGAAUAGCUCUGGGAAACUGGAAGUAAUACCGAAUGUGCCCUUAGGGGGAAAGAUUUAUCGGAUAAGGAUCGGCCCGCGUUGGAUUAGCUAGUUGGUGGGGUAAAGGCCUACCAAGGCGACGAUCCAUAGCUGGUCUGAGAGGAUGAUCAGCCACAUUGGGACUGAGACACGGCCCAAACUCCUACGGGAGGCAGCAGUGGGGAAUAUUGGACAAUGGGCGCAAGCCUGAUCCAGCCAUGCCGCGUGAGUGAUGAAGGCCUUAGGGUUGUAAAGCUCUUUCACCGGAGAAGAUAAUGACGGUAUCCGGAGAAGAAGCCCCGGCUAACUUCGU